rnacentral:rRNA from 1 species
GGACUACACGGGUAUCUAAUCCCGUUCGCUCCCCUGGCUUUCGUGUCUCAGCGUCAGCACAGCCCCAGCGACCUGUUUUCACCGUUGGCGUUCCAAGUGAUAUCUACGCAUUUCACCGCUCCACCACUUGUUCCGGUCGCCCCUAGCUGGCUCAAGGCACCCAGUAUACCAAGCCGUUCCCCGGUUGAGCCGGGGGAUUUCACAAGGUACUUAGGAACCCGCCUACACACGCUUUAAGCCCAGUGAUUCCGCCUAACGCUUGGCACCUCUGUCUUACCGCGGCUGCUGGCAC